AGUGAACGCUGGCGGUAGGCCUAACACAUGCAAGUCGAACGGCAGCACAGUAAGAGCUUGCUCUUACGGGUGGCGAGUGGCGGACGGGUGAGGAAUACAUCGGAAUCUACUUUUUCGUGGGGGAUAACGUAGGGAAACUUACGCUAAUACCGCAUACGACCUACGGGUGAAAGCAGGGGAUCUUCGGACCUUGCGCGAUUGAAUGAGCCGAUGUCGGAUUAGCUAGUUGGCGGGGUAAAGGCCCACCAAGGCGACGAUCCGUAGCUGGUCUGAGAGGAUGAUCAGCCACACUGGAACUGAGCCACGGUCCAGACUCCUACGGGAGGCAGCAGUGGGGAAUAUUGGACAAUGGGCGCAAGCCUGAUCCAGCCAUACCGCGUGGGUGAAGAAGGCCUUCGGGUUGUAAAGCCCUCUUGUUGGGAAAGAAAAGCAGCAGGUUAAUACCCCGCUGUUCUGACGGUACCCAAAGAAUAAGCACCGGCUAACUUCGUG
rnacentral:rRNA from 1 species